GACAGAGGGGGCAAGCGUUGCUCGGAAUUACUGGGCGUAAAGGGCACGUAGGCGGGAUGGCAAGUCGGUCGUGAAAUCCUUCGGCUCAACCGAAGAACGUCGAUCGAUACUGCUGUUCUUGAGGGUUGCAGAGGAGACUGGAAUUCCCGGUGUAGCGGUGAAAUGUGUAGAGAUCGGGAGGAACACCGGUGGCGAAGGCGGGUCUCUGGGCAAUUCCUGACGCUGAGGCGCGAAAGCGUGGGGAGCAAACGGG
rnacentral:rRNA from 1 species